UGCUCAGGACGAACGCUGGCGGCGUGCUUAACACAUGCAAGUCGAACGAUGAAGCCCAGCUUGCUGGGUGGAUUAGUGGCGAACGGGUGAGUAACACGUGGGUGAUCUGCCCUGCACUUCGGGAUAAGCCUGGGAAACUGGGUCUAAUACCGGAUAGGACCUCGGGAUGCAUGUUCCGGGGUGGAAAGGUUUUCCGGUGCAGGAUGGGCCCGCGGCCUAUCAGCUUGUUGGUGGGGUAACGGCCCACCAAGGCGACGACGGGUAGCCGGCCUGAGAGGGCGACCGGCCACACUGGGACUGAGACACGGCCCAGACUCCUACGGGAGGCAGCAGUGGGGAAUAUUGCACAAUGGGCGCAAGCCUGAUGCAGCGACGCCGCGUGAGGGAUGACGGCCUUCGGGUUGUAAACCUCUUUCAGUACCGACGAAGCGCAAGUGACGGUAGGUACAGAAGAAGCACCGGCCAACUACGUGCCAGCAGCCGCGGUAAUACGUAGGGUGCGAGCGUUGUCCGGAAUUACUGGGCGUAAAGAGCUCGUAGGCGGUUUGUCGCGUCGUCUGUGAAAACCCGCAGCUCAACUGCGGGCUUGCAGGCGAUACGGGCAGACUUGAGUACUGCAGGGGAGACUGGAAUUCCUGGUGUAGCGGUGAAAUGCGCAGAUAUCAGGAGGAACACCGGUGGCGAAGGCGGGUCUCUGGGCAGUAACUGACGCUGAGGAGCGAAAGCGUGGGUAGCGAACAGGAUUAGAUACCCUGGUAGUCCACGCCGUAAACGGUGGGCGCUAGGUGUGGGUUUCCUUCCACGGGAUCCGUGCCGUAGCUAACGCAUAAGCGCCCCCCGC
rnacentral:rRNA from 1 species